GAAAAGCCGUUGUUAUAAAAUUUAACUACAGGAAC
rnacentral:tRNA from 1 species